CACCUUGACGAUACAAGGGCAGAGGAUAUUCGUCACUCAUGCUAUUAAAGGAAGAAAUCUAAAAAAUUAUGAAGUACGAAAAUAAAUAUUUACAAGGCAGCUUGGGAAAAAGAAAACAAAAAGAAUAUAUAUGAAGAAUCGCAGAAGCACAACAUUCGCACGCCAAGCCCCAACCAAUUCUCAGCAGCCCAAAAGUUUAGCUUUUCCUCCAUCGUGGGCCAAAUAAUAGGAGCUCAGCAACAUGCCAGGCCUUAUGACAUGGUCCAUUUUUUCUCUUUCUCGUGCUUAGCCAAGCCCAAGGUUCUCUCGACCUAGUUUGUUAGAGGGGAGCGAGUGCCCAUAGCCUCUCUCCCUCUCCUUCACCUCCAACGGGCCCAAGCCCAGCUCAGCGCCCCCGUGCAUUCGGCCCAUGCUAACGCACGCUGAGCCCUAGCUCGCACCACCAGCACCUCAGAGAAACUAACUUAGGCAUUGAAGAUCCAUUAGCCUAACCCCACAUUCCCUCCAAAACCCACCUCGUGGGCGCUUGAGGUUUAGGUCUUUGAUCAAAGGUGUUGAUUGUUUUGUACGUACAUUUCAUCAAGAUUGAAGACGACGAAAAUUUGCUACCAUACACAUGUCAUUUAAUGAGUAUGAAAGAUAAAUUCGCGAAGGUAAGAGACAUAAGCGAAUCCAUCAUGGACUUGGUUGGUCCCAGAAGUUCGAAGAAAUGCAUGUAAGGAUUUUUGAGGAUCACCCAACGAUCUUGGUAGCUGGUGGAAGAAAGAAGACCACCAUGGCUGUGCAUGUUGUGUAACACAAGCUUUAAACCAAUAACAAAUAUAUAUAUAUAUAUAUUUUUUUUUUUUUAGACGAAGAGGAACACAUAGAAGAUUAUCAUGGUCUUGUUGUUCUUAGACCUUUGUUCCAACGAAGAAAAACUUUCUCUCUCCAUUUCUAAAGUGACUAACUCCCCAUUUUUCUUUUUUGUUUUUUAAUUGUUGUCUAAUCAGGUUGUGCCACCUAACAUUUAAUUAAUAAAUUGAUGGUGUAUUACUAAACAAAUACUUUUUAUACAAUAUGUUUGACACCGUUAUUUUUUUUUAAUUCACUAUAAAUUUAUACGAUAUUUGAAAAAUAUUUCGUAAAGUGCUACGAACAUGUAAUCACUUGAACUUUCAUCUCAUAACUUCAAAUUCACUAAAAUGUUAAAGCAAAUUUUUUGAUAUUUUUAUAUGUUAUAUGUUAAACAAUAAACCUAAAAUAAUAAAUUUAAAUUCUCAACACAAGUAUAGUUUUAUUUAUUUAUUUAUUUAUUUAUUUUUUAUUUUUUUUUUAUGUGUAAACAUAUACUAUUUAUAUGAUAUAAUAAAUUAAAUUAAAUUUGCCUAUUCCGCUUAGAUCCGUCUAGGUGCAUAGGUGCUAGGCCACAAUCUGCCGCCCGACUAGCACCUAACAUACCUUGAUUAGGACUACCCGGUGUUAGAAUCUUGGAUCUCACCACUGGUUGAAGGUCAAUGUAAUUCCUCUAAAAUCUUACUCUUAGUCCUUACUCUUUCCACUAGACUUUCACUGAAGCCAUCUCCAACCGAAAUGACUAGACAUGGCCUCCCCAUGGAGAAUUAUAGGCUUGCAAAAUAGAAUCUUUAAACAAACAGUAUCAAGUCAUACUCAUAUACUAUCUUCAACCGAAAAGGCUAAACAUAGUCUUCUCAAUAAUUUAUUAGUUUUAAGUUUAUACCUUAAAUUUGUUGGUUAAUUUAAUUAAACUACUGUUGAACGUUUUCAAAUCUAACCAUUGAAUUUUAAUUAAUUAUUGCAAUUGGUGUGGCUACAUUUGGCUAGCCUGAUACCUUAUUGGCCAAAUAAUGACUUGAUAAAUUCCAUCAAAUUAUAGAUCAGCCAUCGAUUGGGAAUUAAUUUUUAGGCUAAGGUCAUUUUUUGGCUUUUGAUUUUUUAGCUCUCUUUAUUAGACAUAGGGCUGGUUCAGUAUGGGAUACCGAACC